rnacentral:lncRNA from 1 species
AUCCAGAAUUACAAUACCUAGGUCUAUUUAGCAAUUUAGAGGACAAUAGUUGGAACUUAAUGUUGCCCAAGGUGACAACCCAAGAGGGGGGGUGAAUUGGGUUUUCUAAAUUUUAAGACCUCAAAUUAAUUUUUAAGUGAAUGUGGUUUGGCCUAUGUAAUAAGAUAGGUGCAGUGGAAGCAAUAGUAGUAUAGCUCUAAACAAUUGUGAUUAAGUUACUUUGAAAGUUUAAGAUAGAGCAAUUGCUUAAGUAAAGAAAAUAAACCAAGAAGCACACAAUGCAAACACAAUUAAAUAUAGUGGUUCGGUGCACCCCAAAGCACCUAUGUCCACUCCCCAAGCGUUUUUUUGGGAAUUCACUAUAACCCCUCGGAUUACAGUUGGAUUAUUUUUCCGGGCUCACAAUUCAAAAACCCUUACAAUUGGUUUUCCGGGAUCAUUAAAAACCUAUGUUGGUUUUCCGGGCUCACCAUCAACCUAACCGUUGGUUUUACAGGCUCACCAACAACCUAUGUUGGUUUUACGAGCUCACCAAUAACCUACACCGUUGAUUUUACGGGCUCACCAACAAACCUUAUAAUGAAUGAAAAAUAAAAGGUUUAAAGCUCCUAAGUGAGCAAUUAUAACAAAUAUGCAGUACAAGAAGAGAUAAGAAAAUAAUUAUCGCUUUUAAGAUCCUCUUCUCUUCUUUGCUGAGCUUGCUUCACUCCUCAAGGAUUGGUAGAGCUCUUGAAGUCUCUUGAAUUCUGCUCAACCACCUUCUUUCAGAUUUUGGGAUGAAGUAAUAAAUGAAACUCUCUUGGAUUUUCUUUUCUUUUGAAUGCACAUUUUAAUUCCUACCAAGAUACCUUCCUUUGAUGAAUAAUGGCUCUUAAAUACUUCUCCAACCUCCAAAGAUCACUUCCUAGCCGUUGGAAUGGAGAAACUAGUCGUUUAUAGCCGUUGGGAGCUCAAAAAGUACUUCUGCAGAACUAGCCGUUAUGCUGUCAGCCGUGUUGGGGUCGAACCGAGCAAAUCUGGGGUCAGCUCAUAUUACUGUUCAUCAGGCUGGGGUCGGCUCAAAUUACUGUUCAUCAGGUUGGGGUCGGCUCAAGCUUUUCUUGGGUCGG